rnacentral:miRNA from 1 species
AGGGUUGUUAGUUGUGUUGAU